GUUAAUAUUUGUAUGAAAAAAAUUGCUUACUGAAAUUUUUUUGAUGCGUUUGUCAGGCUCCUGAUGUCAGGUGUAGCACAUGCAGGAUCCACAACAAAAAUUUGUUGUGAUGGAAGAUGAAGUUUGUGACCAUCACAUAAUUUUGGUGUUGGGACCUGUGCAAAAAAGGUUUUCAGAGGCAAACAACACCAGGAACAUCAGGGACACUAAAGGUGGUUUGUGCUGCUCUUUGCACCCCAGGUGUGGGCAUUUGAGGUGGAGCUCUGUAAAAGUGUGAUUUACCAGCACUUUUAUGUUUUUUUGUUGGCCGUUUUCCCCACCUCUCUUCUGCAAAAGCCACAUGACCUGAUGGCUUAUGAGGUCUAUUGAGAAGGUCUUCAGGAAGAUUGUUAUUCAUUAUGUGUUCCCUGUAACGUCCCUGCAAAGAUGUGUGCAUUGUCUGAAUGAAGUGUGCUGGCCGGACACAUGUUUUUUUUUGAAGAAUGCAUGUUUUCACAAUGCCAAACCAUUUUUCAACAUGACAGUUUGUGUCUCUGGUUUUGGAGUUUUCUGCGGAAGGAAGUAGUGACUCCAUGUCACAUGCGUAUCUUUUUAGAUCUCCGAGUAGAACCCCGCUCCAAAGUGGAUAGAUCCCCAGGUAAUUGUCCAGAAGGAACUUGAUUACAUCUGGACAAUAAUAAGGAUUUUCAACACUCUGAUGUUCUUCAUUUUCCAAGACAACCAUGACAUCAUCGUAGAUCUUCUUGAAAAGUUUGGAAAAUGGAGAACCACCAACAAUUGUUUUUGAUGAAUUUUCAUCCAUCUCCCACUUUUCUGAGUCAUCUUCUGUUUGGUCUUGAAGAAUAGCAUCUUCUUUUGUAAUGAGGCCCUCCAAGAAUUCAAGACUCUCUGUGACAUUUUUACUGACAUGUCUUGCGAGGAAAACAAUACAGAAGGGUCUGAAAAUGGCAAGGGCAUCAUCCACAUUAACAGUGUUUUGCAUCCUGGCAAAUACAUAUGUUGCCAUCUUUUGCAGCCCUUUGUCGUCUGUCUUCCUUUGAAAAGCUGAAGACACAGCUUUGAUGAUAUGAGCUGCACACAGGUGCAAAACUGUUGCUGAUUUUAUAUCUGCCCAGGUCUUUUGUUUUUGGCAGAUGGCAUACACCCUAUUAAGGUAAGCCGGCAUACUUUCUUUAUUAAAUGCCAAAAUUACUCCCUGCAUAAGUGCCCAGCUGUAAUCGGUCUCCACCUGGUGAAUUUGUUGACGGGUGUAUUUUGACAGUUUGAGGAGAAACUGCAUCAGCCAGAAAGUUAUAGGAGGAAUGGAAUGCUCGCUUGAUAUCAUCUCGCAUACUGGAAGUGGAGGUGCAUCUCUUCCUUUACCUGGCAAGGCUGUGAGUGAUGUUACCAGCAAGAAGUUCCUGAAUGGGUGUAAGAUGUUUCCAGUCCGGCACACAGUUAAAGGAAUAACUGUUUGAUGUUUGGCUGGUUUGGUCUUCAUGGUGAAGGAAUACCUUGCACGGCAUGUUGAAAAUUUACAUUUUGCACAUAUUUUUAAGUACCCACACAUACGCUUCCGGCUCCCUAUUGCUCGGACAUGCUGGUAUGUAAAGCGGAGGGGACAACAAGGAUUUUUUUUCUUGAACUGAUUGUACAAGUAGUGGGUCCAUGGUUGUCUUAGUUUAUUGGAGCAUUUCAAAGGGCAAAUUUUGUUCCAUACCUUUGAAUGAAGAAAAACUUUAAAUUUAGUUGGUGUUUGUGGCACAUGUCUAUAAGUUUGGUCCCCUGUUUUUGAUUCUGUCUUUUUUUCUGGAUUCUUUUUUAGUUCAUGGAUUGAGUUACUGUGGUUGUCAAUUGUUGGAGGAACCUCCAUCACCUCAAAGUUGUCACACUCAGUGUCUGUCUGUCCCCAGUCAUUGAUCUCCUCAGACUCCUCUCUAUCCAUUUCUGUUUCAUCUUUUUCCAAAAUCUCUGUCCGCAUACUUUUGGUUUCAUUUUCCUGUUUCUUUAAACACAUUGGUUGUAACGUAGUUCUUAUAUUUCUCCUGUCAUACGUCCAUAUAAUAAAAAGCCAUUGCCUGUU